UAUCUCUGUAGAGUCUGCAUAUCAAUAAGCGGAGGAAAAGAAACUAACUAGGAUUCCCUCAGUAACGGCGAGUGAAGCGGGAAGAGCUCAAAUUUGAAAUCUUCAAGGUUCUACCUUGACGAAUUGUAGUUUAAAGAAGUGUUUUCUGUUGGAGUUUUGGUAAAAGUUCUUCGGAAUAGGACAUCAUAGAGGGUGAGAAUCCCGUAUUUGACCAUUAUCUUCCAACUGUGUGAUACACUUUCAAAGAGUCGGAUUGUUUGGGAAUGCAGUCCAAAAUGGGUGGUAAAUUUCAUCUAAAGCUAAAUAUUGGCGAGAGACCGAUAGCGAACAAGUACCGUGAGGGAAAGAUGAAAAGAACUUUGAAAAGAGAGUCAAACAGUACGUGAAAUUGUCAAAAGGGAAGCGUUUGACACCAGUGUUGUUUUCUCGAAAAUCAAUUAAAAAUGGUGGGAUGUUGUGUUGUAUUGACUUUAUCAGCUUUCUGCACUUUUUUCCUUAUCUUUUUUAAUGCACUUUUCGUUUAACAAGUCAACAUCAAUUUCUUUUGUUGUAAAGAGUCAUUGGAAGGUGGCUUUCUUUUCGGAGAAAGUGUUUAUAGCCUUUGACUUCUGCAAUCGGAGAGAUUGAGGUCUGCAGCGUAGAUCCUUCGGGGUUAGAUAGCACUUUGUGCUAAGUUAUAGCUUUUCAUAGACAACUUGUUGAUUAUGAUUAGUCUUGUAGCUUACUCGCUUGUGCUAUUUUACCUACGCUUAGGAUGUUGAGUAGCGACAUACGCAC
rnacentral:rRNA from 1 species